rnacentral:rRNA from 1 species
GAUGAACGCUGGCGGCGUGCCUAAUACAUGCAAGUCGAGCGAACGGACGAGAAGCUUGCUUCUCUGAUGUUAGCGGCGGACGGGUGAGUAACACGUGGAUAACCUACCUAUAAGACUGGGAUAACCUCGGGAAACCGUAGCUAAUACCGGAUAAUAUUUUGAACCGCAUGGUUCAAAAGUGAAAGACGGUCUUGCUGUCACUUAUAGAUGGAUCCGCGCUGCAUUAGCUAGUUGGUAGGGUAACGGCUUACCAAGGCAACGAUGCAUAGCCGACCUGAGAGGGUGGUCGGCCACACUGGAACUGAGACACGGUCCAGACUCCUACGGGAGGCAGCAGUAGGGAAUCUUCCGCGAUGGGCGAAAGCCUGACGGUGCAACGCCGCGUGAGUGAUGAAGGUCUUCGGAUCGUAAAACUCUGUUAUUAGGGAAGAACAUAUGUGUAAGUAACUGUGCACAUCUUGACGGUACCUAAUCAGAAAGCCACGGCUAACUACGUG